GGAGGGUGCGAGCGUUGUCCGGAAUCACUGGGCGUAAAGGGCGCGUAGGCGGCGCGGGCAGUCAACGGUGAAAGCUUGGGGCUCAACCCCGAGUCGGCCGUCGAUACUCCCGGGCUUGAGCACUGUAGAGGCAGGUGGAAUUCCGGGUGUAGCGGUGGAAUGCGUAGAGAUCCGGAAGAACACCGGUGGCGAAGGCGGCCUGCUGGGCAGUAGCUGACGCUGAUGCGCGACAGCGUGGGGAGCAAACAGGAUUAGAUACCCUGGUAGUCCACGCCGUAAACGAUGGGUACUAGAUGCUUGGGGGAGCGACCCUCUGAGUGUCGGCGCUAACGCAUUWAGUACCCCGCCUGGGGAGUACGGCCGCAAGGCUG
rnacentral:rRNA from 1 species